rnacentral:lncRNA from 1 species
CCGAAAGAUGGUGGCUGCAAAAACUAAGCACCAUUUAUAAUGUCAGCACCCAACCUCUGGAGCAGAAGGGUACUGUUCAGACAUCAGCUCCCCACACAAGAAUUUGGUGUCUUUCAGCACAGAGCACUCCUGGUGUUGGCAGUGUCACAAGCAGCCUGCAGUUUCAGAGACAAGAGGUUUGGAGGAUUAAAGAAAACAUUUAAGAAUAGAAAGUGAGGAUGCCCAAAGCAUGCAGAGUACCCUGCCUUCUGAGCC